UGACAACAAAAAUAAUAAAAUAUAUCAUCAUCAUCACUGCUGGACGCCAUCUUGAAUGAACGAAAUCUAUACAUUUAUAGUAUGCAUCAUGUAUGGAUGUGCAGGUGUACACGUAUCGUCAACCGAAUCUUGUACGCGUCUAUGAUAAUACACUCCAUGUGCAGAGGGCCUAAGGAUCCAUAUUCAAUUAUGAAUGAUUUUACAACUAGAAGCCUGGGUUCAAUUCCAAAUUAUUUUAUCAUUUUCAUGGAUCUGAAAUCAAAUCUAGAUAAUUUUACCAUCUUGAAAGCUUCAGUAUUCCAUUGAAGUAAUAUUACGGUAUUACUACUAAAAUUAAUAGUAAUAAUUUUGUGAAUCAUUUCAGCUUACAGUAGAGUUAUCA
rnacentral:lncRNA from 1 species